rnacentral:lncRNA from 10 species
AAAGACCAAAGUACACAACCAAAAUCUUAAAACUAAUAAAAAAUCAUGUCCUCAGAGUAGAUAAUUUCCUAAACAAAAUCCAAAAACACAAGUUUUAAAGGAAAAGAUUGAUAUAUUUGAUUCGACAAACAUUGUAUAAUAAAAGACGUGAGAAGUAACCUUAGUGAGAAAAGACGAGCAAAGAUUGGUACAGGCUUUUUGGAAAACUAGUUGGCUCUAUCUACUGAAGCUGAACCUAUGCAUUCCCUAUGACCAGCAACUCCACUUCUUGGUAUAUACCCAAGAAAAGUGCAUAUGUAUAUUCACUAAGGACAUUAUGAAAAGCAUUAUUUGUAAUAGCCCCACACUGAAAAAAAAAACCAAGAGCCCACAAGCAGUAGAAUGAAUAAAUAAAUUGUAGUAUAUUCAUACAUUAAAAUGUAGCACAUAAAGGAGAAUUAACUACAAAUUCACGACAACAUGGAUGAAUCUCACAAACCUAAUGUUGAGCAAAAGAAUCCAGACACAGAGGAGUAUAUACUGAAAGAUCCCACUUAUUUAAAGCAGAAAAGAGGCAAAACUAAUAAUCAGGAGAGUGGUUAUCAUCCUUGGGCAUAGUGACUGGAAAGGAGCACAAAAGAAGCUUAUGGCAGGGAGGGGAGAGGUUGAUAAUGUACUGUGUCUUGAUCUGAGAGCUGGUUAUAU